UCGGACGGGGUGGUAACGCGUGAGAAUCUGCCUUCAGGAGGGGGAUAACGACUAGAAAUGGUCGCUAAUACCCCAUAUGCCUACGGGUGAAACGAGUUUUGCCUGAAGAUGAGCUCGCGUCAGAUUAGCUAGUUGGUGAGGUAACGGCUCACCAAGGCGACGAUCUGUAGCUGGUCUGAGAGGAUGAUCAGCCACACUGGGACUGAGACACGGCCCAGACUCCUACGGGAGGCAGCAGUGGGGAAUUUUCCGCAAUGGGCGAAAGCCUGACGGAGCAAGACCGCGUGGGGGAUGAAUGCCUAAUGGUUGUAAACCCCUUUUAUUCGGGAAGAUAAUGACGGUACCGAAUGAAUCAGCCUCGGCUAACUCCGUGCCAGCAGCCGCGGUAAUACGGAGGAGGCAAGCGUUAUCCGGAAUUAUUGGGCGUAAAGCGUCCGUAGGUGGUUGGACAAGUCAGCUGUUAAAGAGUGGUGCUUAACACCAUAAAGGCGGUUGAAACUGUUUAACUAGAGUUUGGUAGGGGUUGCGGGAAUUCCCAGUGUAGCGGUGAAAUGCGUAGAUAUUGGGAAGAACACCGGUGGCGAAAGCGCGCGACUGGACCUGAACUGACACUGAGGGACGAAAGCUAGGGGAGCGAAAGGGAUUAGAUACCCCUGUAGUCACGCGUUACUC
rnacentral:rRNA from 1 species